rnacentral:rRNA from 1 species
UACAGAGGUCCCAAGCGUUGUUCGGAUUCACUGGGCGUAAAGGGUGCGUAGGUGGCGUUGUAAGUUCGGUGUGAAAUCUUCGAGCUUAACUCGAAAAUGGCAUUGAAAACUAUAUCGCUCGAGGGUCGGAGGGGAGACUGGAAUUCUCGGUGUAGCAGUGAAAUGCGUAGAUAUCGAGAGGAACACCAGUGGCGAAGGCGAGUCUCUGGACGACUCCUGACACUGAGGCACGAAAGCUAGGGGAGCAAACAGG